ACUGACAGCCAUGGUUACCGCGGCUGCUGGCACGGAGUUAGCCGGUGCUUCUUCUGUGAGUUGACUGUCCUUCCUGCCGGCUAUUAACCCGACAGGCCUUCUUCCUCACUGAAAGUGCUUUACAACCCGAAGGCCUUCUUCUACACACGCGGCAUGGCCUGGAUCAGGGUUGCCCCCAUUGUCGAAUAUUCCCCACUGCUGCCUCCCGUAGGAGUCUGGGCCGUGUCUCAGUCCCAGUGUGGCUGAUCAUCCUCUCAGACCAGCUACGGAUCGUCGCUUGGUGAGCCGUUACCUCACCAACCAGCUAAUCCGACAUAGGCUCAUCCGAUAGCGCGAGGCCC
rnacentral:rRNA from 1 species